CCUGCCCGGGAAGAAGCUGUACAGGGGCUCAAGGAGGCAGUGACGGUAGCAGUCAGUCAGUGCAUAGUGUUGGGGGUAAAAUCACCUACUCCGCGGUGUGGCAGAUUUUUUUUAAGCCGCCGGAGGUGGUGAACGUGGCUAUUAUAGAUGAGUGAA